CUCCGCGAGCGUUUGGUAGUGUGGUAGGUGAGUGGGUGUUGCGGGCUAGUACCCGAGCAAAAGAUGGUGGCGCAGGCCGAGUUAAGAGCUUUAAUCCUGUGAAGCCAUCUUGGUGAAGAGCUUAGAGUGCUGAGAGUUGAAAGCUUGCACGUGGGAAACGUGCGGCGCGACCGCCACAUGUACUGAGGUUGAAUCGUGACGGCCACAGGCUCCGAGUUUUGGCGUGAGGAGACCGCUGAUCGGCUACGGGCGCCGAACUUGCUGGCCUCAGGCAUGUGCCUGAGCGGCGGCGGAAAAACCACCUCAGUUGGGGCGGAGGGUUAGUUUUAAGAGCAAGGGGCCUUUACUAAAAUGGCGAAGGCCUUCCGUCGGCGUUGUUUUAAAAUGGGAAGCCUCGACCCAGUAUUGAGACAGCUGUUCGAAGGCGGCGUUGUGUGCAAUUCGGAUUAAUGAAGGGGAAGGGUUUUGUGUGGAAAAACACCUUGGAGUGUGACAUUUCUGCGAGAAUGCUUAAAUACCGAUUUCCCGCAGGAACAAUGGCGCUGUCUUCAGUGGCACAGCGGAGCAGUUCUGUGAAGAUGCAAAGAUACACGAAAAAAAUUCCAGAACAUCUGGGAGAAUAUUUAAUGGAAAAUCGCUUGGUUAAAACCUGACACUUAACAGUGAGGGUCGCUGUCUGCCCAUUGAUAGAGGCCAGAUUGUCUUGGAAGUUCCAAAGUUGCAACGAUUUCUUUGGUUGAAUCCGUGGACAUGAAACCCACAGAUACAGAGGGUCGGCCCGGUGCAGUGGCUCACGCCUGUAAUCCCAGCACUUUGGGAGGCCAAGGCAGGUGGAUCACCUGAGGUCAGAAGCUCGAGACCAGCCUGGCCAACAUGGUAAAACCCCAUCUCUACUAAUAAUACAAAAAAAAUUGCUGGGCAUGGUGGCGCACGCCUGUAAUCCAAGCUACUCCAGAGGCUGAGGCAGAAGAAUCGCUUGAAUCCGAGAGGCAGAGGUUGCAGUGAGCCCAGAUCACACCACUGCUCUC
rnacentral:lncRNA from 1 species